rnacentral:rRNA from 1 species
AGCAGCCGCGGUAAUUCCAGCUCCAAUAGCGUAUAUUAAAGUUGUUGCAGUUAAAAAGCUCGUAGUUGAAUUUCGGGGUUAGUAGGUUGGUCGUGCCACUGGUACGUACUGGUCUCACUGACUCCUCCUUCCUGAUGAACUGUAAUGCCAUUAAUUUGGUGUUGCGGGGAAACUGGACUGUUACUUUGAAAAAAUUAGAGUGUUUAAAGCAAGCUAACGCUUGAAUACAUUAGCAUGGAAUAAUGAAAUAGGACGUUCGAUCCUAUUUUGUUGGUUUCUAGGAUUGACGUAAUGAUUAAUAGGGAUAGUUGGGGGCAUUAGUAUUCAAUUGUCAGAGGUGAAAUUCUUGGAUUUAUUGAAGACUAACUACUGCGAAAGCAUUUGCCAAGGAUGUUUUCAUUAAUCAAGAACGAAAGUUAGGGGAUCGAAGACGAUCAGAUACCGUCGUAGUCUUAACCAUAAACUAUGCCGACUAGGGAUCGGAUGAUGUUAAUUUUUUAAUGACUCAUUCGGCGCCUUA